GAUAAUCUUAAAAAGAAGAAUUGAUUUUUGUAAAAACCUGUUAUCCACUGAAAUUCUACCACAGCAUCAUUCAGGAACCAACAUAAAGGAAAUUUGAUCUGUUUUGCCAAGAACAAUUUUUUACCUUCAAACAAGCAAUUUCAAAAUUCAAGGCUUUCCUGAAAGUAAAACCAUGUGUAUCUUUGCCUUUCAAAUAAAAAAUGCCUAAUUAACAAAAAAUUCCUUUCUUCAAAUUUCAA